rnacentral:rRNA from 1 species
UGGGGGAUAUUGCACAAUGGGGGGAAACCCUGAUGCAGCAACGCCGCGUGAGGGAAGAAGGUCUUCGGAUUGUAAACCUAAGUUGUCAGGGACGAAAGGAAUGACGGUACCUGAAAAGAAAGCUCCGGCUAACUACGUGCCAGCAGCCGCGGUAAUACGUAGGGAGCGAGCGUUGUCCGGAUUUACUGGGUGUAAAGGGUGCGUAGGCGGGUUUGCAAGUCAGGCGUGAAAUACCGAGGCUUAACUUCGGGGCUGCGCUUGAAACUGUAGAUCUUGAGUGAAGUAGAGGCAAGCGGAAUUCCUAGUGUAGCGGUGAAAUGCGUAGAUAUUAGGAGGAACACCAGUGGCGAAGGCGGCUUGCUGGGGCUUUAACUGACGCUGAGGCACGAAAGCGUGGGGAGCAAACAGGAUUAGAUACCCUGGUAGU